AACACUGGGUGAAUGCAGAAAAUUGCAUCUAGUGACAGCAGCAUAGGAACAAAACACGAAGGCUCCCGACAACCUAGCGGCUAUCUUGGUCUCCCCUGAGUGCAUUUGGAACCUGGCCCAUUCACAUCAGUCUGUCAACUCCCAGCCCGUGGCAGGUGACCCUCCCCGUUGACAAGGCAUAAGCUGCAGCUCUGCCCACAGCCUCCCCUCUUUAAUUUUCUCUUUCCUCUCAGUCUAUCUUAUAUUUUUCUUCUUUGUUCUCUAUUCUUUUAAUCUUUUUCUCCCUCUCUUGCUUCCUUUUGUUCUCCAGGGUGGCCGGUGUGGGCAGCUGGUGGCUUCCAUAAACUUCAAAUCUUUUUCAAGAUCAUGCAUUCUUGCAACCGGGGAAGAAUGGCCUACAAAGCCUGAUUGGGACCACAUAUAUCCCGGAUUUCCUUGGACUGACUCAACUAUUUGUCCCAGCUCCAAGUUUCAAGAAGCCAGUCAAGAUUGUCAGGAAUUCAAAGUUGACUGGGAUGGCAACCUCAGAAGCCAUGUCCUGAAGACAGCAAGGCCUCCUCAGCCUGGGUCCUUGAAUGACUGCAUGGAGGAGUGCUGCUCCUCCUCACCUGAACACUUGCAAAGGAUGGUUACAGGACAAAGAAAGAAACUUGGGUGAAGUCACUAGAUUUGGAGAUCUGUAUGUUACUGAUAUAGUUUGGAUCUGUGUCCCCGCCCAAACCUCAUAUUGAAAUGUAAUUCCCCGUGUUGGAGGUGGGGCCUGGUGGGAGGUGACUGGAUCAUGGGGGCGGAUUUCUCAGGACAGUGAGUGAGCUCUCGUAAGAUCUGGUUGAGUGUGCGGGCCCUCCCUGCGCUCUUUUUUUUUUUUUUUUUUUUUUUUUUUUGAGAUGGAGUCUCACUCUAUUGCCUAGGCUGGAGUGCAAUGGCGCUAUCUUGGCUCAUUGCAACCUCUGCCUCCCAGGUUCAACUGAUUCUCCCGCCUCAGUCUCCCCAGUAGCUGGGAUUACAGGUGCACACCACCACACUCGGCUAAUUUUUGUACUUUUAGUAGAGACAGGGUUUCACCAUGUUGGCCAGGCUGGUCUUGAACUCCUGACAUCGUGAUCCGCCCACCUCGGCCUCCCCGAGUGCUGGAUUCCAGGCGUGAGCCACUGCACCUGGCCACCACGUUCUCUCCUGACAUGUGUCAUGCCUACUCCCUGUUCGCCUUCUGCCAUGGUUGGAGGCUUCCUGAGACCUCAUCAGAAGCAGAUGCUACUGUGCUUCCUGUAAAGCCUGCAGAACCAUCAGCCAAAUACAUUUCUUUUCUUCAUAAAUUACCCAGUCUCAGGUAUUUCUUUAUAGCAACACAAGAAUGGCCUAAUAUAGUUACUGUGGCUUAGCCUAUCCUUAAUGAAACACUAUGUGUUCCAGAUAUUUAAAGCUGUCAUUUUCAACCAGGGACAAUUUUGUCCUCCAGGGGGCACUUGGCAAUGGCUAGAGACAUUUUUGGUCGUCACAAGUGGGGACGGUGGUGGUUCUAUUAGCUUCUAAUGGAUAGAAGUCAGCCUUGCUGCUAAACGUUCCUACAACG
rnacentral:lncRNA from 1 species